GUCAGGUUUCCAAUGACGAGCUUGCCUGACUCGUCCUGUCCCUUCUUCACAGCGGGGAAGAGGCUAAAUCUUUUAGGGAGACCUUUCCGAUCAGCAAGAACUGUGGAAACAGACAUCAGACUCAGCACCCCAAUCUUGGGGCAAGAACAAGUCCCACAGCCCAGGAGAUGCCUAGGGUUCCCUACAGCCUUCUCAAAUUUGAAGUCUUUCCUAAAGGUUGACUCCAGGUUAAAGGUUCAGCUCCUCCGUGAGGUGAAACCCGGAGGAUAAGGAAGAAAGGCGUGCAGACAAGCAGAAAAUUUCUCCACGACUUUCCCUUUUCUCGCUGUUUUCUCUUUCCCAACCCUACUUUUUACUUAAUCCCCCAUUCAAUUCACUGCUCCUGGCAGGGAGCCAGCAUUGUUCCUGCCGACUCUGGUCUUCCCUCCUCCUUCCCACCCCGCGGCGGUGGGGACCCAGAGCAGCCCCUGCGGGUCAGGGCACAGUCUUCACUGCUGGCCCCGCCCGGGCCUGGAAAGAUGAGAGUUUGGGUUUCUCAGGCCCCCACUUAUUCCGAAUGCCAUCAGCUCCGGAGUAACUUCUAGAAGGCCCCCUCCCUGCAGCUGCUCUGCACCCAGCGGUGCUCCCCUCUAAGAACUGCUUGAGCUAGGCUCUACCGGCCGCUCCCACUGUGGCUGGAGUCUAAAGCCCGCUCUGACGAUUGCCCGGGGCGGGACCAGGACAGAGAACCGAGGAGUAUCUCCAAGUCUCCUGCUGCCUGGAAGACAGUCUGCUCCUGGCUUUCCUUUGGAUGAAGAUGCAGAACUCUCAGCAACUCCUGCACUGCCAUCUUCCCUGCCUUGAUGAUAAUGGACUGAACCUCUGAAUCUGUAAGCCAGCCCCUAUUAAAUGUUGUCCUUAAUAAGAGUUGCCUUGGCCAUGGGGUCUCUUAACAGCAACGGAAACCCUGAUGGCCACCAUGCCUCUAGGAUUUUAUUGUGGUUUUUUGUUUUGUUUUGUUUUGUUUUUUUGUUUUGUUUUUU